rnacentral:rRNA from 1 species
UGUAGUCACCCCAAUUACGUGCGGUGGCGACAUCGACAGUCUGCGGGAAUCUCUCCACCAGUUGGGGACAACCCGCAGCCGGACCUCUCGCGUCCGGCCCACAGACUAAAUGUUGAUGGGUCCGCGCCCCCCUGCGGAUUUUCGAUAUAGUCGGUCGUCGGGGCACAUACACCCCCUCGAGCAAACGUUCCGUAGGUGAACCUGCGGAAGGAUCAUUA